rnacentral:rRNA from 1 species
AUUGAACGCUGGCGGCAGGCCUAACACAUGCAAGUCGAACGGUAACAGGAAGAAGCUUGCUUCUUUGCUGACGAGUGGCGGACGGGUGAGUAAUGUCUGGGAAACUGCCUGAUGGCGGGGGAUAACUCCUGGAAACGGUAGCUAAUACCGCAUAACGUCGCAAGACCAAAGAGGGGGACCUUCGGGCCUCUUGCCAUCGGAUGUGCCCAGAUGGGAUUAGCUAGUAGGUGGGGUAACGGCUCACCUAGGCGACGAUCCCUAGCUGGUCUGAGAGGAUGACCAGCCACACUGGAACUGAGACACGGUCCAGACUCCUACGGGAGGCAGCAGUGGGGAAUAUUGCACAAUGGGCGCAAGCCUGAUGCAGCCAUGCCGCGUGUAUGAAGAAGGCCUUCGGGUUGUAAAGUACUUUCAGCGGGGAGGAAGGGAGUAAAGUUAAUACCUUUGCUCAUUGACGUUACCCGCAGAAGAAGCACCGGCUAACUCCGUG